UACAGAGGGUGCGAGCGUUAAUCGGAAUUACUGGGCGUAAAGCGUGCGUAGACGGUUAUUUAAGUCGGAUGUGAAAUCCCCGGGCUCAACCUGGGAAUUGCAUUCGAUACUGGAUAGCUAGAGUUCGGCAGAGGGAAGCGGAAUUUCUGGUGUAGCGGUGAAAUGCGUAGAUAUCAGAAGGAACAUCAGUGGCGAAAGCGGCUUCCUGGACCAGAACUGACGAUCAGGCACGAAAGCGUGGGGAGCAAACAGG
rnacentral:rRNA from 1 species